AGAACGAACGCCGGCGGCAUGCCUAAUACAUGCAAGUCGAACGAACACUUCGGUGUUAGUGGCGCACGGGUGCGUAACGCGUGGGAAUCUGCCCUUGGGUUCGGAAUAACAGUUGGAAACGACUGCUAAUACCGGAUGAUGACGAAAGUCCAAAGAUUUAUCGCCCAGGGAUGAGCCCGCGUAGGAUUAGCUAGUUGGUGAGGUAAAGGCUCACCAAGGCGACGAUCCUUAGCUGGUCUGAGAGGAUGAUCAGCCACACUGGGACUGAGACACGGCCCAGACUCCUACGGGAGGCAGCAGUAGGGAAUAUUGGACAAUGGGCGCAAGCCUGAUCCAGCAAUGCCGCGUGAGUGAUGAAGGCCUUAGGUUGUAAAGCUCUUUACCCGAGAUGAUAAUGACAGUAUCGGGAGAAUAAGCCCCGGACUAACUCCGUGCCAGCGAGCCGAC
rnacentral:rRNA from 1 species